rnacentral:rRNA from 1 species
UACGGAGGGGGCUAGCGUUAUUCGGAAUUACUGGGCGUAAAGCGCACGUAGGCGGGCGGAGAAGUCAGAGGUGAAAUCCCAGGGCUCAACCUUGGAACUGCCUUUGAAACUUUCUGUCUUGAGGUCGUGAGAGGUGAGUGGAAUUCCGAGUGUAGAGGUGAAAUUCGUAGAUAUUCGGAGGAACACCAGUGGCGAAGGCGGCUCACUGGCACGAUACUGACGCUGAGGUGCGAAAGCGUGGGGAGCAAACAGG